rnacentral:rRNA from 1 species
AUACGAAGGUGGCAAGCGUUGUUCGGAAUCACUGGGCUUGAAGCGCGCGUAGGCGGCUGGGCAAGUCAGACGUGAAAUCCCUCGGCUCAACCGAGGAAUUGCUUUUGAAACUGCCCGGCUUGAGCUGCGUAGGGGUCCGUGGAACUCUCGGUGGAGCGGUGGAAUGCGUAGAUAUCGAGAGGAACGCCGAUGGUGAAAACAGCGGACUGGGCGCAUGCUGACGCUGAGGCGCGAAAGCGUGGGGAGCGAACGGGAUUAGAAACCCCGGUAGUCC